AGGACGAACGCUGGCGGCGUGCUUAACACAUGCAAGUCGAGCGGAAAGGCCCUUCGGGGUACUCGAGCGGCGAACGGGUGAGUAACACGUGAGUAAUCUGCCCCUAGCUCUGGGAUAGCUCCGGGAAACCGGGAUUAAUACCGGAUACGACCACCUUAGACAUCUUUUGUGGUGGAAAGAAUUUCGGCUAGGGAUGAGCUCGCGGCCUAUCAGCUUGUUGGUGGGGUAACGCCUACCAAGGCGACGACGGGUA
rnacentral:rRNA from 1 species